rnacentral:rRNA from 1 species
AUUGAACGCUGGCGGCAUGCCUUACACAUGCAAGUCGAACGGCAGCACGGGUGCUUGCACCUGGUGGCGAGUGGUGACCGGGUGAGUAAUACAUCGGAACGUACCUUAUCGUGGGGGAUAACGCAGCGAAAGCUGUGCUAAUACCGCAUACGCCCUGAGGGGGAAAGCGGGGGAUCGAAAGACGUCGCGCGAGUAGAGCGGCCGAUGCCUGAUUAGCUUGUUGGUGGGGUAAAAGCCCACCAAGGCGACGAUCAGUAGCUGGUCUGGGAGGACGAUCCGCCACACUGGGACUGAGACACGGCCCAGACGCCUAGGGGAGGCAGCAGUGGGGAAUUUUGGACAAUGGGGGCAACCCUGAUCCAGCAAUGCCGCGUGAGUGAAGAAGGCCUUCGGGUCGUAAAGCUCUUUUGUCAGGGAAGAAACACCGGCUCUAACACAGUCCGGGAAUGACGGUACCUGAAGAAUAAGCACCGGCUAACUACGUGCCAGCCGCCGCCGUAA